rnacentral:lncRNA from 1 species
UGUGUAGAGAAUGAGCUCUCUGGCAUCAUGAUGGCACCUACAACAGUAGGUUGGUGGUGAACAAGCAGUGAACCAGUGAACAGGGCAGCAUUCUUUGACAACACUGACUUUAACAACAUGAUGGGCCAUUUUUUCCCGCACCACAAAUUGAAGAAGUUUUCAAAAUUGGGCAAGGCUGAUCUGAUUUACUCACCCAAUUGCAUACAAGAAGCUGUAAUUGAGAGUGCAGACUUAGCUGGGCCUCCCGGGAAAAGCCCUUAUUUUUCUCUUUCCUCAUGGAGUCUUAAAGAACAAGAAAGAACAUUCUUGACGGUGUCUGUGACUUGAUCUCUCCAAGAGGAAGAUGCACAGGAGGUCUAAACGCUUACCAUCUAAAGAGUGGUGCUUGGACCCACAGCAUCCUCAUCCCCUGAAAGCUCCUUAGAAAUGUGGAGUCUCCAUCCCCACCCUAGGUCUACUGAAUUAGUCUUCAUUUUAAUAAGAUCCUUGGGUGAUUCACAUGCACUAUCUAUCGUGUGUAAAUUCUAUCAGGUGUAAAUAACUGUUUAGUUACAUACAGGAAAUUGCUCUCCUGUAACAUGACAGAUGCAGAUGUAUCUUUGAAAUACCUAAAAAUGUGCCCUUCUGAGGAAAACAUUAGCUCUGUUCUGCAGAAAAUUGUGACUAGAGAUAUGAAGUGAUUUGUUCAAAAUUACAUUGUUAAUAAUUCCAAGACCACAGAUAGAAAAUAAACAUCCUGCCGCAAUAUAGGCU